rnacentral:lncRNA from 1 species
UAUUUUUUUAAAUUUUUAAUUAAUUUUUUAAUUUUUAUUAAUUUUUGUAUUUUUUCCCGUUUUUUUCCGUUUUUAACGUUUCCGCCCGGUUUCCGCGCUCCGUUCCGGCGCCCCGUGCUCGGUUUCACCCCGUUGCCCCCUCCCCUCCCCCCCCCCCCCCUUUUCCCCCCGGGGUCACGGUCGGGGUCACGGGGUCACGGCCCGGUCACGGCCCCGCCGCUCCCCCCGCCCCCCCCCGUCCCCCCAUCCCCCCCGCGCGGGCCCGCUCCCGCCGCCUCCCGGCUGCAUGCUCGGAGCAGGGAGGUGACACGGAAAGGCUGCGGCACUCCCAGCCCUGCACCCCCCAGACACAGCCCCGGGGGGCUCUUUGUGCCUCUCCUUGUGCCCCCCACCCCCGCGGCCCCCUCCCUCGGUGCAGCCUUGCCCGUGCUGCUGGCACAGCCCCCACCCGGGGGGCACGGUGCCAGGGUCCCUGCGCCGCCUGCUGUCAUCACCUGCGGCUCUCCUGGCAGCGCUGCCGGUCCCGUGGCCGCGGUGCCAAGGGCAGGCUGCCCGUUAUCUCCUUGCCCGCUUGCCCCAGUGCUCCCAGUGCUGCCUACUGGGGGACAACGGGGACCCUCACGGCAGGACCCAGUGACAAAAGGUGGCGCUUACAGCCCCAGGCUGACUCACGGAGCUGUCGGCGUGGCUGCCUGGGUGUGUGCAGGAUGCACAAUUAGGGAUCGCACCCCUAAUUUCAGUGCAGGAAUUUGGGCUCUGCCUGGUGCCAGCACUCGGGGUGGGGGCCCCAUCCCUGUCACCCCCGUGGGCAGGGUGCGGUGCCGCGUCCCGGUGCCCCCCCAGAGCUGCCCGGGGGCUGCUCAGGCUCUGGGUCCAGCAGCAAUUUGGGCUCCCCACGAUGAUCCUGUGGGGCUGUGCCGGAUUCACCCCAAACCGUGCGCCCCCGGGGGGGUUUCUGUGAGUUCAGGUGGGGACACCCCCACCCACGGCCCCGCACCCCCAGCCCCGCUGCGUGCUGCACGCCGAGGAGCGUUGCUCGCCAAGCUGUUCCUGCCCAACAAUGGCGAGUUAUUAAAUCCCCUGUAA